GCGCAGCUCUCACACAUUGUUCAUUAACAGCAGCAGCCGCCGCCACCGCCUCCUCCCAACCAUUGAUUGAUCCGCGCGGGGCCGCCGAUCGAACUUUGGGCUAAAUCAAGUGCAAGAAAAUCACAAGUUGGAACUUAAUACCUCCUCUGCCCAAGGUUUCCAUGUCAUUGCAAUGCAUCAGCCUAUGCUGUGCACGCACUACACUGUCAGAGCACAUCCUCCCUGCAAGUAUUCUCUUGCCCCGCACAUGCAAGACCUAGAGCUGCCCAGAGAAGAAAAGUACUGCAAAUAUCAGAUGGAAAAGACUAGAGUUCAGAUAUCUUACAAGCAUUGCACUGACAAGAUGGACCCACAAAAUAAAACUGGUCUCCAGGUUUAUACUGUGGUUUUGAGUUUUUUUGAGUCUGUCUCAGGAUAGUUCCUCAACCUACAGACUCCAUACCUGCAGAGGGCUCAACUCUGGGACAUCACAAAGGCUGCUGCAAGGGCCUACAGAGACAGUUUAAUCCCAUGGGAGCUCAGGGGUGGGAGAGAGCUAAUAGAAAUGUCAGCAAAGAACAGCUCACUCUCAGCAAGUCAAUACAGGUCUCCCAGCAAGAUCCCUUAAUACUAUAUAAAGCAUGUUUGUUAACUAGCACUCUGUAGAGCUCCAGCAUUAAAGGCUAUGCUUGUGACACAGAAACUAAGCACAGACCACAAGGACAAUAUUCUAGACAUUUGGGAAAUGACAUCUUAGGCAAGAAGUUACACCAGGACAGAAAAGCUGGAGAAUGGCAUUUGCUAUCCUAGUAUCCUAGACGCCAAGCCUGGAUGUUGAAUAAAAACAAAGUACACCAUUUCACACACAAACUGACAGAACUCACAGCAGCAACCACCCGCAUGAAUGAGUUAAACAAAAAUAAUGAGUUUUGAUACCCUUGGAAAAAGGUUACGAUAUUUCUUUGAAUGCAUUUUAGAGCAGUAUUUACACUUCAGAGAAGAGACAAGUAAGAAGAAAGAGAGAAAAGCACAUUCUGCACAUUUUGUUUUUUGUUU